GAAACCAUGAAUUACAAAGCAUUCACUUUUGAUAUUGUUUGUAUUAAUUUUUUUGUCUAUCGUCAACAAUGGCCUCUCGAAGAAUAUUAUCAGGUCCGGGAAAUAGUAAAAUGCCAUCACUACCUCACCGACCUAAACCAGAUGGAUCAGCAACUACCCAACCACCGCCUGCAGCACCACAACAUUUAACCUAUCGUGCAAUACAAAAAACAGUGACUGUAUGCAACGAGAAGGUGUAUGGCAAUUGUAUAAGAGCUCCUCCAACAGUCACACGCUGCAAUUAUUAUGGAAGAUGUAAACGCACCGUAGUACCCUAACUUGAAGUUAUAACAGCAAAGCAAGUCGCAGUUAGAAUUUGAAAUUUAUGAAUUCUGAAUGUAUUACUGAAUUUUAUAACACAUUUAAUUAGUUACUGGAUUGACGGUUAAUUGUAAACAAUAAACUUCAUUUUUCAGUGAAAGUUCAUGUAAUAAUAUUGAAUGGUGUAUAUUUAUAUCAAAGCCAUUUAAAAUCUU